rfam:Weissella confusa LBAE C39-2, WGS project CAGH01000000 data, contig: WeissC39_1_contig00008
AUUAUUGAUAGAGGUUGCGACCAACAAGAGUAGCUUAACCGAGCCGGCACCGGCAAGGACGUUAAGUCAAAGGGGCGGUCGCCGAAAUGAAUUAGCGCAACUAAUUUGUUGGGACAACAGUUAAGAGCUGUUGGACUGUCGCUGGAAAUCAGCGGAGAGCUAUCGUAACA